rnacentral:rRNA from 1 species
CGAUGAUGCCCACUUGUGGGUGGAUUAGUGGCGAACGGGUGAGUAACACGUGAGKAACCUGCCCUUAACUCUGGGAUAAGCYUGGGAAACUGGGUCUAAUACCGGAUAUGACUCCUCAUCGCAUGGUGGGGGGUGGAAAGCUUUAUUGUGGUUUUGGAUGGACUCGCGGCCUAUCAGCUUGUUGGUGAGGUAAUGGCUCACCAAGGCGACGACGGGUAGCCGGCCUGAGAGGGUGACCGGCCACACUGGGACUGAGACACGGCCCAGACUCCUACGGGAGGCAGCAGUGGGGAAUAUUGCACAAUGGGCGAAAGCCUGAUGCAGCGACGCCGCGUGAGGGAUGACGGCCUUCGGGUUGUAAACCUCUUUCAGUAGGGAAGAAGCGAAAGUGACGGUACCUGCAGAAGAAGCGCCGGCUAACUACGUGCCAGCAGCCGCGGUAAUACGUAGGGCGCAAGCGUUAUCCGGAAUUAUUGGGCGUAAAGAGCUCGUAGGCGGUUUGUCGCGUCUGCCGUGAAAGUCCGGGGCUCAACUCCGGAUCUGCGGUGGGUACGGGCAGACUAGAGUGAUGUAGGGGAGACUGGAAUUCCUGGUGUAGCGGUGAAAUGCGCAGAUAUCAGGAGGAACACCGAUGGCGAAGGCAGGUCUCUGGGCAUUAACUGACGCUGAGGAGCGAAAGCAUGGGGAGCGAACAGGAUUAGAUACCCUGGUAGUCCAUGCCGUAAACGUUGGGCACUAGGUGUGGGGGACAUUCCACGUUUUCCGCGCCGUAGCUAACGCAUUAAGUGCCCCGCCUGGGGAGUACGGCCGCAAGGCUAAAACUCAAAGGAAUUGACGGGGGCCCGCACAAGCGGCGGAGCAUGCGGAUUAAUUCGAUGCAACGCGAAGAACCUUACCAAGGCUUGACAUGAACCGGAAAUACCUGGAAACAGGUGCCCCGCUUGCGGUCGGUUUACAGGUGGUGCAUGGUUGUCGUCAGCUCGUGUCGUGAGAUGUUGGGUUAAGUCCCGCAACGAGCGCAACCCUCGUUCUAUGUUGCCAGCGCGUUAUGGCGGGGACUCAUAGGAGACUGCCGGGGUCAACUCGGAGGAAGGUGGGGACGACGUCAAAUCAUCAUGCCCCUUAUGUCUUGGGCUUCACGCAUGCUACAAUGGCCGGUACAAAGGGUUGCGAUACUGUGAGGUGGAGCUAAUCCCAAAAAGCCGGUCUCAGUUCGGAUUGGGGUCUGCAACUCGACCCCAUGAAGUCGGAGUCGCUAGUAAUCGCAGAUCAGCAACGCUGCGGUGAAUACGUUCCCGGGCCUUGUACACACCGCCCGUCAAGUCACGAAAGUUGGUAACACCCGAAGCCGGUGGCCUAACCC